rnacentral:rRNA from 1 species
UCCAGACUCCUACGGGAGGCAGCAGUGGGGAAUAUUGCACAAUGGGGGGAACCCUGAUGCAGCGACGCCGCGUGAGUGAAGAAGUAUUUCGGUAUGUAAAGCUCUAUCAGCAGGGAAGAAAAACCGACCAUAGGGUCGCUAGACGGUACCUGAUUAAGAAGCCCCGGCUAACUACGUGCCAGCAGCCGCGGUAAUACGUAGGGGGCAAGCGUUAUCCGGAUUUACUGGGUGUAAAGGGAGCGUAGACGGCGGUGCAAGCCAGAUGUGAAAGCCCGGGGCUCAACCCCGGGACUGCAUUUGGAACUGUUAAGCUGGAGUGUCGGAGAGGCAGGCGGAAUUCCUAGUGUAGCGGUGAAAUGCGUAGAUAUUAGGAGGAACACCAGUGGCGAAGGCGGCCUGCUGGACGAUAACUGACGUUGAGGCUCGAAAGCGUGGGGAGCAAACAGGAUUAGAUACCCUAGUAGG